GCCUGGCCUUGAAUGCCUGCAGGGAUGGGGCAUCCACAGCCUCCUUGGGCAACCUGUUCCAGUGCCUCACCACCCUCUGGGGGAAAAACUUCCUCCAGUGCUUGGAUGCUGACUGCAGUUGUGGGGUGGUGAGCACUGUACCCAGGAGGUGAGCUGUCAGCUGGUGCCACGUGAUUGUGAGAGCAAACUCUUAUCUGUGCAUAAUGCAAAGUAUGUAAUACUCCCUUGUUGCAAAUCCUAGUUAGGAUAUUGUAUAUCUAAUAACAACCGUGCUUUGUGUUUCUUGUUGUCGGUCUGAUUUGCCCCUCUGCUACUUCAGAAGGAUCCUCUUAAAUUAAAGGCCUGGGGAGCACAAGUCACAUCUGCUUGUUGUGAGGUUUUCCUCUUGCUUUUGGCCAUGGUAUUGAGAACUUCAGCUGGGCUGAGAAGCCCAGGUGCUUCCUGCAGGAGCCUGUUAUGUCUUCUUGGUGCCCAAUGGGUCAAACUCCCAAUGUGGUGUGGCAAACAGUGGAGCUGGAAGGAGAAGGAAUAAAUCAGGGACCAUGUGAGGGUUAUGGGGAGAUGAUCGUUUACCAGCAUUCAUGUGCAAAAAGUGGCGUCUAGACAUUCAAACACUGCUAAUAGCCUUUGAUUAACCAUUUUUGUUUUGUUCUUGCUCAGUGCGUUAAUCACUGUGAUUAAAAUGCUUAGCCACCAUGGAGAUAGACGUUUUAUAAAUCAGUAAGUAAGCAAAUCCAAACAGAUGGGGUAGGGAAAAUUAGUGUCUCUGGCAGGGCCAGCCUUAGUCAAGGCAGGACCAAGGAAGAUUUAGGGGAGACCCUAAAAAUUUCUAAGGAAAUUUGGCGUCCUAUGUGCCUGCCAGCCUUCGUCACUCUCUUGCUCCCAUAAACCUCUCCUCUAGCAUUUGUCCUCUGCCUACGGAGCCUGUUGCUGUUCUCAGCCCAUCACUGGGUCCCAGGGUGAGCUGGGUCACCAGGAUGCUGCAGCCAGGCCUGGAAGCUGCUCUUUGCUUUGCAGGAGAUGCGGUGUUAACAUGACAGCAUCUCCGUGCUGCAGGGGCCUUGUACUGCAGACCUGGGAAGAAGGAAUGAUCUAAACUGGACCUCUGCUAGCUGGUUAAUUGUUUUCCUUUUCAUAGCAAUUGUAAAGGAGCAUCACAGAUGCUCAGCCCCUCCUCUGCCAAAUGUGUGUGGAUACCUUCCUUCUUUGGGAGAACAGCCUGAAUUUAUGCUGUCAAGCUUAGGGCUGUGACCUCACCUAAUGUCUUUCUUCAAGGAAGAAGGAGAGCUGGAAAGGGUAGGAGAGGCACCUCACCGUACUUGCAAGAUCUGGAGUUUUGAUAGGUGUCAAGAAGCAUCAAAAUCAGCACCAGUGCUUUCUCUGUGGCUGGCUGAGACAAAGAUAGAAUUACCUAAAGCAGGGAAUGGCUGUGGAGGUCACAGUGAGCCCCAUUGGCAGCGCUUCGUCUUCUUCCUUCUGUUUAAUCUGGUUUGCUUUGGAGCUCGUUUUCUAGGAGAACUGAAAAAACUGAGUAGGUUUGGUGUUUUUUGCCUAUUAUGUGCUAGGAUCUGUAGCUAGGAUUUCCAAUUUCUCUAAACAAAAGACUUCCUAAACCACUCAGGGUUGCUCUCCUGGGAUAACUGCAUUCACAGAAAUGGAAGCACUUUGAAGAGAAGGACACCAGCAGAAACAAAGAUAGCUGAAACAGACUUGGUCCUGUUCUUGCUGAGCAUGUCAGGGCUGAAUAUGGACCCACAACACAGCUGCUAUUCCUUUUCCACUUGCUCCAGCCCAGCCCUGCAUACUCCUUUGUAUAUUGUGUGGAAAGCUGCAAGUUUUGCAGUACCUCACUUGAAUCAGACUGACUUCAGUCUGUAGUGGUACUGGAUCACUGCAGUGUUCUUCUGUGUUCCUUUUGAGGUUGAUUUUUUGUUUUUCCUUUUUCAGAGGGAUUUUUAUGGACAGUGCAGCAGCAUGGCUGAUGGGCAGCACGUUUUGGGACAUGAGAGGGAUGAAUCAUAGAAUCACAGAAUCCAUUUGAGUUGGGAGGGACCCUUGAAGGCCAUCUGUCCCACUCCCUGCACUGAGCAGGGACACCCAUAGCUCCAUCAGUGCUCAUCCAGCCUGACCUUGGCUGUCUGCAGGGAUGGGGCACCCACCUCUCUCUGGGCAACCUGUGCCAGUGCUUCACUUGCCCUUACUGAGAAUAACUUCUUCCUUACACCCAGGCUGGCUCAUAAACGUGCUGAUGAACCCCUUGUCCUUCACCUUCUAAAGAGUCUGUCCCCUUCUUUCUUCCAACCCCCCCCUUUAGGUAGGCUGUUCUCAUGUGUCCCUGGAGCCUUCUCUUCUCCCAGCUGAGGUUAGCUGUGUGGUUGGGGGAGGAGCUCACAAAUGGGGUUUGGGGGGAGCUGGUGCCUCUCAGACCCUUGAGUUGAAAUCUGGGCUCAUUUGGAGCCUCUGGGUGGGGAAUUUGGGAAGAGAAUUUGGAGGGGUUGGAUGGUGUGAAGUCACUGGAAGCCACCUCUGUUGGUCUGCGCUUGGGUUUGCUUCAAGGUUCCCUCCCAUUUAAGCGCUGCAUGCAGUGUGUGAGUUGGUGGAUGUGCGGUGCAGGGCUGCCCAUGGAUGCUGGCACCCAGCAGCAAUGGCUGCAAAGCCUCAUCACGUGCAGCAGCGAGGGCUGCAGCUGAGCAGGUUUUCAGGCAGAAAUCACAUGCUCGAUGAACUCGGAGGGUUUGUUCCUGGCUCCUGGUGCUCGUCUCUGACCCUAGGCAAUACUCCAGCUCAUUUAAAAGUCACUCCUUCGCUUGUUGGUUGUUUUUUUUUUCCUUUCUCCAUCCGCUUGCUGUAGUGUUUUCCCUCCUGUCCUUAUAUGAACCAUCCAUCUUUUUCUUCAUCUUUCUGAUUCCUUUCUUAGCUUGAGUAAUCACAGCAAUUUUCAAGCCCCAAGCUUGUGCCUCCUUUCUUACGCCAGUCCUCCUUCCCUGCUUUCAUCUCUUGUUUUUUCGAGGGGAACUCACCUAUAUGCAGGAAUGCAUAAACAGAGCUAAAUAAAAACAGAUAGCUUCUUUUCAACCUGAAAUACAUACCUGGAGACCUAACACCCAGUACUUCUAUGCCUUUACAGGCUACGUUUGUUCAGUGCUCUUCUAAGGCCAUUGAGGCAUUGAGUAUGGAGCUGUGUUAAGCUGCGCAGUGACCACAAUUCCAAGUGCAUUGCAAAUAUUUUAUUUGCUGCGUGUUGAGGUUUUCAGAAACUGCUGUACUGUUAUUGCCAGGAAAAUGCUGACAUAUAUUUUAUGUAACACAUCAGAUGUGAUACAGACUCACUUUGCAGAACUGAGUAGCAUUGCUACGGCCAAUUGUUUGACACAGCAUUUUGCUACGUUUUCUGACAUGCUUAAUAAAGAUAUUCUCAUGAUUCUAGAUUCAGCCUGAAUGCCAUUAACUGCUGGCUUUCUGAGAAAGCAGGAACGCAGCUCGUAAUGCCAGACUCUGCAGGUUUUGUUCAGCAGCCAUGAGAUAUGACUUCAGAGCUCCUAAAUGCUGAAAAUAAUCAGCACCUGCGCCGGCUGGCGUAACCUGGGCUGCUGCUUUCUGUCCAUCGGUGUUGUGCAAAUUGGCUUCGCCCGUCAAUUAGGGUAAGGCAGAGCUUUGGGGCAUUUUGUCGGGGAGGGGGCUGGAGACAGUUGAAUGUUCUGGCACAGAGGAGACCUGGCAGAGAAUAUAAGGAGAGCGUCUGCUGUCAGCUUUUGUUAGGGUCCCUGUGAUAUCCAUGUGUUGCCUUGGCAGAGUCCUGAGCCCGCAAACUUCUCUAUCUUGCAGCCAGAGUAUGAAAUUGUUCUCUCAGUAGAACGGGAGCCGGCAUAGCGUGUCUCAUUGGAAUUGGUUGAGCUUGGAAUUAACAUUUUUUUACUUACAAUCUUCUGGAGAGGAUAUUAGGAUAUUAUUAGUUGCCGUCCCUGGCAGCGUUCAAGAGGCGUCUGGAUGACGUGCUGCGUGAUGUGGUUUAGUGCUUGUGGUGGCAAUGGUGAUGAGGAGACGGUUGGACUGGAUGAUCUUGUAGGUCGUUUCCAACCUUGUGAUUCUAUGAUUCUAUGUGGGGCAAGAGGAAAGCAGAAAAGCUGCAGUGGUGUUUUGGGGUUGUACCUGGUCUUGGAUGUGGUUUUGAUAUGCCAGCAGAGAACACUCUGCUUGUUGUAUGCUGGAUUGACUUAGGCUUAUUUGGGAAGUCUUUGCCCAUGCCAUAUGAACUUUGCAUGUUUCCCCUUGGAGCAGGUAUCAGACUGAUAGCACAUCCCUUCCCAAGCAAGGUUUCUCUGCUCCUUGGGCACAGCCAGGUUUCUCCAGAUUUUGCAUUUUCUGCUUAUAAGUGUCUUCUUUGACCACAUGAGCUCUUAAGAAAGCUAGCGUGCAGGAGAAGGAUUGUGGCCAGGACAGGUGAGAUCUUUUGUGCUGCAUUUUCAGAUCGUAAGGAUACCCAGUUUGGUGCCAAAACUGGAGCUGGGAGCUGGUGAAAGCUGAUGGGAACUCAGUGCCCUCAUCCAGGUCAUCUGUAAAGAUACUGAACAGGGUAAGUCCCAGUACCAACCCCUGGGGAACACCACUCGGACCGGCCGCCAGCUGGAUGCGACUCCAUUCACCAUCGCUCUCUGGGCCUGGCCCUCCAGCCAGUUCUUCAUCCAGUGAACAGUGUACCUGUCCAAGCCAUGGGCUGCAGCUUCUCCAGGAAAAUAUUGUGGGAGACAGUGCCAAAGGCUUUGCUGAUGUCUAGGUGGAUCACAUCAGCAGCCUUUCCCUCAUCCGCCCGGCUGCUCACUUUGGAAUUUGACUAAUUUCAACCAAAUUUUUCAGUGCGCAUUUUGAAGAUGUCCAGUUUUGUCAGAGUCCACGAAAGCAGAGGAGAAAAAGAACCUGUUGCAGUCCCUACGAGGUAAAGCUGCUAUGCGUUGUGUCAAAGGGCCUGUGGGUGAGUCCUGCAGGAGCUUCAUCACUUCCUUUGCUCAUAGACCCAUUCGUCUUAGAGAAACAUUCCUCUUCCACAAGUAUGUUUGGCAGGAGUGAUGCUGUCACCCAAGGUUGGGAUUCUGGUUGUCUUCCUGAUGCCAUUCCCAGCUCAGCCAUACGGCACCCAAGGCCUUGCAGGGUGUGUGACACAUCCAGACGUGCUUUGUAGACAGAUGCAAGCUCUGUUUGUUGGCCUGGUUACUGAGAUUUUCUUCGAUUGCGUUGGUUUAACUCAGUAGGAGGUUAUUUGAGAAGGAAAUGAAAGGCUCAGCGAACAGUGAAUGCUGAAGAGGUGUUAAGAGGAAAUACCAGAUGUGUAAGUUUUAGGGUUUUUUGGUUUCUAAUUCUUUUACUGUCUCUUCAGCCAGCCUGGUUUUGAGCAGGGUAGGUGUAAGCUUGUAAGCACGGGUGAGUGCAAGGAUGCCUUUAGGAGCAGAAGACUCCCUGAUCAAGUGAAGGAGUAUUUCUGUGCAGAGAGGACCUGGCAGACAACAGAGCUGAGGAUCUGCUAUGGGCAUGUAGAAAAGUGUGUCUUGAUCUCUGGCAGAGAAUGAUAAGGCCCCUGCAGCCCCCCACCACCACAACUGUGGCACCUGAACCCCUCACAGCAUGAGAAAGCACAGUGUCGUCUUUUAGAAACUCUUUUUACAACUUUCAUUCCAUUUCUCUUCUUAAUCACUGGGAAUGCUGAACAAUUUUGAAUUCAUUUUCCUGUCAAAAGGAGCAUUUAAAUGGAAAAAUUGAUUAUAUGAACGGAUGAGUCUAAGUACUGCAGAAAAAGAGGGCAAGAUUGGCUGCCCUAAAAUCAAAACUUUCCUACCCAUUACAAGUGAUCAUGUCAAUUAUUUCAGAGGUCCUGGUAGCAGUAAGGUAAUGAGAGGGAGAUUUGAUUGCUGAAGCAAAUGUAAUUUACGCAGCAUUAAGAUCUGACCAAAACUGUGUUCUGAGGCAGUGAAUUGCAUUCUUAUUAGAUGACUGUGGUUUUUCCCCUUUUGCUAUAGAUGCACAGACUUAUUGCUAUUCAGGCCAACUAGUCAGGAGUACAAUAAUAUCCCACCUACUGCUCUCUGAUAAGUGAUUUCCAUCCAACUUACAACAAAAUGUCUGCCUCCAAAACACGUAAUAAUGAUGGCCCUAGAGUUUCGUGUACUUGAAGUUGAUGUACUGGAAAUGGGGUAAACCUGGAGAUCUCCACUUUGCUUUGUAAUGCUUGAAAACUCAGGCUGCCCUCAAGAAGGAACCAUGCCCAAGUAGUGUCCAUCUGGACUGAACUUUAGGGUAGGAGGAGAUUCUUCUUCUUGGUUAGAAGGUUUUAUAUACUUUAUCAGUCUCUUCUUAACUGGUGUAUUUGUCUUACCCAACACUUCAUGUCUGUCUCCUGCCCUAAACAAGUUGGUUUGAUGCUCUUAAGCCUAGCAUUGCUUUGCAUCCCACAUACUAACCAGUAUGUUGUUCUCCACUUCCUGAGCAUUCAUUCCCUGUUUAACAUUUCUGCCUGGGAAGGUGUGAAGUUGUCCAGCUGGUAUUAUAGCCCAAGUAUAAUGUGACAUCAAAUGAUUUAUAGAAAGGAAGAUAAAAUCUCAUUUAAUGAAAAUAAAUCUUGUGAAACAGUGCCUAACCUUUAAAGUGAGCACGAGUGCUUCUGGAGAGGUGUAUUCUGUAAAAUUACUGUUAGGGUAAGUCUCUCUCUUGGCUCCAGGGCAUUAAGACUCAGCCUGUGAUCUCCAUAGUGUCUAAGAGCUGACCUGGUGGGUCAAGAGCUGGCACAUCAUUUGAAGCCCACAGUGUGUGCAGUGUCUGCACUGUGCUAGGUUUAAUACGGCGUGCCAAGGACUGAAUCAGUGUGCUUGGAUGGAGCCUGAGGGUUGGUAUCAGCCCUGUGUUCAGAGACAGUCCUCAAAGCGAUGACAUACGAUGUGUGAACCAAGGAAAACAGCUAGACCUUCUCCAGAGAAUCAAACAGACCCGUCUUCAGCUCUUUCCCUGCUGUUAAUGUUGCAGACGGUCUCCAGAACAAUUCUGGCAGAGCAAGGUUUGGCACUGGUGCAGCAUCACCUGGUGGCACCCUUCCUCAAUUAAAAGUUGGCAUGACCCAUGUGCACUGAGUGCUGACGUGGAUCCUGCCCCCAGGGCUCAUAAACGAGGAUGUACUGCAGGGGAUGGGGCUGUGGAACAGCACUGCUGUGUUGUCAGCAGCAGCACGUGCAGGUGAUGUUCAGCCACAGAAGGUUUUCCAUGGCACAACAGGGAGAAACUGCAAAGCCUUGCAUUGUUUGUGAAAGGUGAUUGUUGCUCUAUAUUAUGAAGCAAUUUUAAUGAAUUUUUUACAUGAGCUGAUGGGGUUAAAGUAGGUUAAAAAAGCUUUAUGCUUUGCUUUUGGCAGGGGAGCCAAUCAAUAACAAAUUCCUCAAGCUCCUCUUCCAGGCAGCAGGUAGUUUCAAGGGAUUGCUUCUUGGCAGAGAAGAGGGGAUAACGUGGGCUUUCCCAUGUCCUGAAGAAUUUUGGUCCAUCAUGAAAGGAGGGCAUCACCCAAGGGUGGCACUGGUCUGGUUUGCUUGAAUUUGAGCAAAUUGCAUGCUGUGAGCGUACUGUGGCUCUUGCUAGGGAGGUGUAAAAAGGCUAUGAUGCAAGAUCCAAAUUAUUGUUAGGAUUGGAAACGUCCGACAUGCAGAGAGCUUUCCAAGAAGAAAUGCAGGCUCUCUAAACUGUAAUUUUCCUUCUUUAGAUCUUUUAAAACCUUCAAUGUAAAUAUUGAUGGUUUAUGACCUAAAUCUUCUUGCAUUGCUUCGUCUUCCAUCUCAUUUAGAUGAGGGCAUGGUGAAGGUGUCCAUAACAGGAGGAGGUCAUAAGCCAAAGCAUUGAGUAACAUGGUUUGUUUGGAAUGGGCCCCAGGAAUAGUGUUACAGGAAUAUAAAUAAGGUUUGUGAAGAAAAGGUGUAGAUAGUGGGGCUUUUUGGUCUCAUUAUAGCACAUUUGAGUUCCCAGCUCAACCCAAUUCAGAAGUUGAUCGUCUGCUUUCUACUUGUACUCUUGGGGUCAGCAAGAUGGGUUUCGGAGGUGCAUUUCUCCCCAAGAGAGAAAUCACAACAAAGCAUUUCUAUGCUAGGGAGAAUCAGAAUGUGCUCACUGAAAGCUGCAUUUAACGUGUAUAAAACACUGGGGAUGACAGAAAUGUUGUAACUACAGGUUAUAGCCUUUUAAUACAGUUCAUGCACUUUCGGACUGUUGAAACAGUGAAGCAAACAUUUGUAGGUUUGUAAGAAAUCUGUCACGCUUCUGAAGUUUAUAGCUGUGGGUGGGAGAAAAAGUGCCAUCUUAUCUCCAGGAACUAAAAUAUCCUGAUUGCAUCACAUAGAAUCAACUUCCAGAAUUCAUUCCUGCAUGGAGAUACUCAGUCAAAUAACAUUGCCGUGUUGUGAAGAACUUUGAAGCUUUGUGACCAUUGGCAUUUAUGUCAAGCCAGGGUUAUUUACAGGCUGCUGUGAAGGGAGUUAACUAAUCACUAACAGCUCCAGGCAGUUUUUCAUCUCCUGGGGAGCUCUCAGGUUGGAUUUUAGAGAAGAAAAAAUACUCUCAGGAAAAGUAGUGAUGCAGUGACAUGGCUGCCCAGGGAGGUGGUGGGGUCACCAUCCCUGGAGGGGCUUCAUGACCGUGGUGAUGUGACACUGAGGGACAUGGGCAGUGGGCAUGGUGGGGUGGGCUGAGGUUGAGUGUCUUAGGGGCCUUUUCCAACCUUAAUGAUUCUAUGAUUAGACCUUGAGAUUUGAAUGGGGUCAAAUAUGUUUUUCUUUGGAGGCAUCGUGUUAUGAGCUCUGUUUGAGGUUCUUGGUGCCUUCACUAUGCAGAAAAGCAGCACGCAGGAGGCAGAAGCAGAGUCUGGCUUCAAGGAUGGAGGUUGGGAAUAUUGUCCAGGCAUACAGUGAUGGUGGUAAGAAAGUCAAAACUCAUGUCAAGUUGAUACUUGCAAGGGGAUGUUUAGAGGCAGCAUGAUGAGAUGCUGCUUUAGCAACGUGGCCUCUUGCUGGAUGGGGCAGGUGAGGUGGUUUAGGGACACAAGACCCAGAUAAAGCUGAGGUCCUCAGUGCUUUCUUUGCUUUGGUCUUCAGUGAGGUUUCCCAGGCCUCUGCAAUUAGCAAAGGGGCUCAGGAUGCAGAGAAACAGAGCAGAAUAAGAGUAGAAUCAGGUAUUACUUGACAAUCCCUAAAAUGGGCUCUGUCGAUGGGUGCUGAAAGCAAGGCCACUCUGAAAAAUCAUGGGGAUCAAGGGAAGUCCUCAGUGAUGAAUGAAAGGCAAAUAUCUCACCCAUCUUCCUCAAAGGUCACAAGGAUGAUGCAAAGAGCUACAGGCUGGUCAGCCCCACUUCGAUCCCUGGAGUGAAUCCUCUUGGAACACAUCUGUGGGCAUUUGCAGGAGAUGCUGGGGAACAUUCAGCAUGGAUUUAUCAGGGCUAAAUCAUGCCUGGACAACCUGCUUGCUUUCUGAGUUAAAAAGAUCAGAUUUGUGGGCGAGGGAAGAGCAAUGAGUGCCAUUGACCUCAAAGUUAGCUUUCAACACUGAUGCCCAGAAUAUCCUGGUUUCCAAGCUGGGAUGUUAAUGGACAAGUAAAUGGGUAGAAACUUGAUUGUGUGAUCUGGCACCACAAGGUCUGUGCCUGAGGACCUGUCCUGCCAGCAUCUCUGCCAACCCAAUGGAAAAUGCUCAUCGUGGUUGGAAAUGACACAGGUUUCAUACCUGGGAGGGCAGGGUUUUGCUGAGAGUGUCCUAGACGGGGCUGGAGGAGUUGGCAAGGGUAGAUGCAAACUUGCAUCUAUAUAUUUUCUUUAAGAUCCUGAGUGCUUUGGUAGAAAAUGGGCUAGGAAACCUAUAGUCUGUAUCAUGUUGUCAUGAGUGGUGUGUGUGUGUGUGUGUGGAUUUCAAAGCUGUGCUAAGAAGACAACAAACCACUUCCAGAAUUAUCUGCAAGCUUUUUCACUGUGGAGUCAAACCCGUGAACAAGAAACAUGUGUUCCUCCUGAGCAUAGCUGGCUUUGUUGGCAAAACUGUUAGAAAACAUUGAGAAGUGGGCUGAACUUCCCAGGUUUUACAUUUGUGGGAGAGACAGUCAAGGUUUUUCCCCCACCAGCAGCAGAUUGCAUUGAAUCCCAAUGAGGUGACUGCCAUCUGCUUCCACAUGGGCUUUGGAAGCAUGGGCCAGCCCUCCGUGGCAUGGAUAAGGAGAGCGAUGGAGAGUGUUGAGGGGGUCUGUGCUGAUGGGAUUUGGGGUUUAUGUGUUGUUGGCUUACUCUGAGUCAGAGCAAAAAUGAAUUGGGCUUUGGCUGAUUGCUGAGUGCCACCCGCUUUGCUCACCGCAGUGUGAUUUCAAAGAUGAGCUUCCAAAUUCUUCCUCUACCAAAAUAUUUUGACAUCUCUCCCCUCCCCAAUCCAAUUUGAUAAUGUAAUUCUGGAACAUGUUUUUUGACAUUUUUUCUGUUCUGUCUCUAUAACGCGUUCAGAUGAUGUAUUCUAAUCUUAGCGAUGAACUGGAAUCCCUUAAAAUUUUUGGAGGAAGAGCAGAAAAAGGCUUUCCAUCCCGUGGGACUGAGUUAUAAAGCAGUGUUGAGUAUCGUUUCCGGAGUAGAGAUAGGAUGUCCUGACCCAGACAGAAGGGAGACGUCCUGGAGUUAAUAAAUCACAGGGUGACGUGAACAUGCUGCGCUGCUGUCAGGUUUGAGCUGCUCAGAAACAGAGGAACAAUAUGCCAGAAAUCCAGCAGUGUGACCUGUGAUGGAUAAAGGUGUGCUGGGAAGGAGCGGGGCUCCUGGUGCUGUUAGAGCCCUACUUAUUUCACUUGACUUGGCUGAUUGGGCUGAUUUCACACAGACGGGCCGAGGGGAGAUUUUUGUAUCAGUGGAGGUGCAGUCACAGCAGAAGGAGGUUUUGGCUGGUUCAUUUGUUGGGCAUUUCCAUGCCUUGUGUUUUCACUCAGCACUGCAACCCCCGUGUGCUGUUCAGGGAGAGGUGAGCAAUCCCACCUGACACAGAAAACACUGUUUGCACAGAGCACGAGACAACAAAACAGCUUUCCUCGGUGUUUCCUUUAGUUCUUAACUUGAAAUCUUCAGCUGGAUCGUCAUUCCCAUUACAGCUCAUUUGCACUGCUGUUAGAGGAGGUGUGGGUGUAGUUUGUGCUCUUCCAGAGUGGCUUAAAGUGGUAAAUGAGAAUCAGACCCUCUGUUUCCUCCCAGUUUCCUUUUGUUCUAAUGAAGAAUGCGCAGCUGGAUGCAGUAGCCUCUAACCAAGCCCUGGAGCAUCCCUUCGUUACACUCUUUCACUGUAGUGCCUGGGAGACCUGUUGCAAGUGACUGAACAGAGGAUGAGAAAAGCAAGGCUCAUUACCAUCUCUGAGCCGCUUUGUUCUUUACUUUGAUAAUUACAGUUUAGAUAUUAAUUGUGUAUGCUGUUUUGCUAUGCAUUGUCAGCUUGGCUUUCUCUGUAGUUAUCAAUGGGACCUCCUGGUCUGAGAGGAGGGAUUCCUGUCCCUACUGGAGCUCUCAUUGGGAGCAUGGCAACUGAGCUCUUGGAUGUCGUCGUGACCUUUCAGCACAGACCUUUGCUGACGAGUGAGGAGGCAUCACCGCUUGUAAUGUGCAAAAGCAAAAGAGUGGCAAUUAGGGAAGGGCGGCUUUGUAGCACGACUCCUGUAAUCGGUGAAGGGAAGAUGGAUUUGGAGCGAGGUGUUGAUGAAGAACGUUUUGUUUUCGCCACUUUCCUGAAAAGCUCUUUUUAAUAAAUUGUUCGUCUUCGGAGGCCUGUAAGAAACACCACAGAUUGCCUUUUAUCAGCCUGUAAUGUGCUUCCAUCGCUGCGGAGAAGUAUGUGAUAGUGAUACCGAGUUGGUCCCUAGAGAACACUGCAGAGACAUCGCUAACAGCUCCAGAGCUACGGCUGCACCGGCUGUGUGCAAAUGGAGCUGACGUCUCCUUGCUCCUACCGACACCUCUCUGGCCUUAGCACCAAAGUGCUGCUGCUUGUGGCUUGCCCACGGAAUUACUUUCCUGUGAUGAUACGAGUGAUUCUACUCAGUAAUUUGAGCGGUCUAAAUCUACCCUCUUCCAGUUUAAAGCCAUUUCUCCUCAUUCUUUAUCUACAUGCACUUAUAAGAAGUCCCUCCCCAGCUUUUCUGUAGGCCACUUUCAGGUCCUGGGAGGUUGCUGUAAGGUCACCCCAGAGCCUUCUCUUCUCCAGGCUGAAGAUCCCCAGCUCUCUCAUCCUGUUCCCAUAGGAGAGAUGCUCCAGCCCUCUGAUCAUCUCUGUAGCCCUCCUCUGGACCUGCUCCAACAGCUCCAUGUCCUUCUGGUGUUGUGGGCCCCACAGCUGGACGCAGUGCUCCAGGUGGGGUCUCACAGAGCAAAGCAGAGGGGCAGAAUCACCUCCCUCGCCCUGCUGGUCACAUUUCUCUUGAUGCAAUCCAGGGUACGGUUGGCCUUGUAGGCUGCAGUGCACAUUGCUGGCUCAUGUUGAAUCUUUCAUCAGCCAGCACCCCCAAAUCCUUCUCCUUUGGGCUGCGCUCAACUCAUUCCCUGCUCAGCCUGUAUCUGUGCUUGGGAUUGCCCCAGCUUGGCUCUUGGCCUUGGUGACUUUCACAAGGUUGGCAGGGAUGGCACGUGGACGUCAGCACAACAGAACAGUAGAACAGUUGGAUUGGGUUUAGAGGAGGGCCACGAAGAUGAUCAGAGGGCUGGAGCACUUCUGACACAAAGAAAAGUUGAGGCAGUUGGGCUUGUUUAGCUCGGAGAAGAUGGAGCUCUGGGCAAACCUGAGAGUGACCCUCUAGUUCUUGAAGGAAGUGGUAAGAAAGAGGGGAACUGACUUUUCACAUGGUCUGAUAGUGAUAGGAUGAGGGUCAAUGGCUUUAAACUAAAAGAGGGCAGAUUUAGUUUAGAAGUUAGGAGGAAAUCCUCUACUCAGAAGGCAGUGAGACCCUGGCAUUGCUGCCCUGAGAGGCUGUGGGUGUCCCAUCCCUGAAUGUGCCCAAGGCGAGGCUGAGCUGCUGGGGUUUCCCAGCCCAUGACAGGCUGCCCAGAGAGGCUGUGGAUGCCCCGUCCAUCCCUGGAGGUGUUCAAGGCCAGGUUGGAUGGGGCUCUUGGCAGCCUGGGCUGCUAUGAAAUGGGGAGGUUGGUGGCCCUGCAUGUGAUGGGGGGUUGGAGAUCCGUGAUCCUUGAGGUCCCUUCCAAACCAGGCCGUUCUGUGAUUCUGUAAGCUUUAAGGUCCCUUUCAACUCAGCCAUUUUAUGAUUACUCUGCAUAUAUCAAGAGUCAAAAUCUUGGUAGUGCUGAGGUAAUAAAGGUGGAAUCCUGUAUGACCGCUUUACAAACUAUUUUGCUGAAAGCAGCAUCAAGAAGUUACCAGGUGCUAAAAUGUUGUGACCCUGUCUUAUUUCUUAAACAGGUUUCUCAGCUUUGUUAGGAAUUUGGGUUUUUGAACUCUUGGCUCUUUACUUGUCAGAUGCUGCACAGCAUGCACCAGUGCUUAAGAAAAAGGAAUAGACAAUGAUUUCUUGGUUUAAUCUUCCAUUAAAAAAGAAAAAAAAAUAUAACAGUAGAGUUAAAUGGUUCGUCUGAGCCUGGCUGGGGAGAGUGGUUUAUCAGAUUAUGAAUGCGCUUUCAUUACCUGGAGGUAUAUAACAUGUUGGUCUAUGAAAUAUACACUUGGGCAAUGAGAAGAUGAAGGUCACGCAAAUAUGGCUGGCCCCCCGCCAGGGAACGUACUGAGGUUUAAACAAAUCCUUGAUGCAGGGUGGGCAGCACAGUGCACAGAACUCUCCCUGCUUCAGAGCUGAACGAAGGCAGUGCUUUUGCAGACCUGUCGCACUGUUGCCACCUCGCAUUGCUCCAGCUCUUCAAAGGCAUCUAACAGCUGCAUUCAGAUCCCUGAUACCUGCGGGUGUGUGUGCAGGUGAGGGUCUGUAGGGUUUCUCCUUGGGUAGGGCUGAGCUGUGAGCACAGCUUGGUGUUUUGGGGCUCUCCCAUAACAUUUUAGUGCUCAGGUUUACCAACAUACGCCUGUAUUUAUUUUGUCUUUGGUUUCUCCGGUGAAGUGAAGCUGAACAGUAGUUUGCCUCCCAGGCAUGUUGGUUCCCCUUCUCCUUCCAGCCUAGUACUUAACAGGCUUUAAAAACUGCUGACAGUUGUUUUAAGAGCUGAUUUUCAGGUCGGGCCUUUUGUAACUCUGCAGCAGGAAGAAGAUAUUGUUAGAAACCAAAGAAAAGGAAGGUUUGCUGUUGCUCCAGGCAGGAGAAGAGGGUGCUUCACUGCAAGAGAAUAAUACUUCUGCUUGUAAAGUGCCUCUCCCUCCCCUACUGCCGAAGCACUCAGAGCUCCCAGCCUGGAUGUGAGUGAGACAGAGCGGUUUGAGACAUGGGCCGGGGUCCAGAAAGCAGAGAUCCUUGGGGAGAAAACAGUUGGCAGAGCUUUUGGGAGGGACUUGGGAAGAUUAAUUGAAUCCUAGAUGAGAGCAUUGCCACGUGCGGUGUGCUGCAGCACUGUUGUUUUUUCCUUGUUGCUCAAUCUAGGUGUCAAUCACCUAAUUUAGCACCUAAGAAGGAAUGUGUUCCAAGUUGGCGAAGUGUAUGGUGAUGCUUAUGGUCAGUAGGUCCCCCGUGUUUGCAUCAACAGUGGAGCACAGUUAAAUGCUCAAAGCUGCUCCAAGCAGUGUGCAAAAAUAUUUUUCCAUUGCAAUUAAUUUGCCAGCAGCAAUUAAUGGUGUGCAGGUGUGGAAAAAGAGUACAUGUGCCUUUGCUUUGUGGUCUCAGCUCUGUCCCUGUGAGGUCAUCUCAGGCAAAAGCAGCCUAGGGAUGGAGCCCCACUACAGGAACAGCUUUUGAAAGGAGGACUCCUUCUUAGAAUCAUAAAAUCAUUAAGAUUGUAAGAGACCUCUAAGAUCACCCAGUCCAGCUGUCAGCCCAUCACCACCAUGCCCACUAAUCCAUUGUAGCAGUGUCUCUUAUCACAGAAUGAUAGAAUCACAGAACGGCCUGGGUUGCAAAGGCCCACAAUGCUCAUCCAGUUCCAACCCCCUGCUGUGUGCAGGGUCACCAGCCAGCAGCCCAGGCUGCCCAGAGCCACAUCCAGCCUGGCCUUGAAUGCCUGCAGGGAUGGGGCAUCCACAGCCUCCUUGCAUAAAACUUUAUCCAUUCAGCACUGAAUAUUCCAAGAUUGUGGACCAUUUCCAUACCUUAGCAUCACAAUGCAAGCACCGAUUUUCUUGUAUUUUCCUCUGCACUGAAGAGUCAAGAUGUGCUGUGAGUGUAUUUAACAUACAUUGAAUUAUAGAAGAGAUAUUUAGCAUUUUUCCUGAAGGAUCCUAAAAUGUUUUACCAACUGUUUCAUGUAUCACAACUCAACAGUAGCCAGUUUUGCUUCAUGCUGAGUUUUAAUUCAAGAUGGAGGGAGAAUAUCCUGCCCAGGAGAUCAGGCAAGCCUGUCUCUAAAUCAGUUGCAUCGCACUGGCCUUAGAUCAGGGUAUGCCCUGCCACCCUGAACAGAGAACUGCCUGUAGAUGGGUCACCAAGGAGUGUUUUGAGCUGUUGCUGUUGCAGCCUCCUGCAGAAAAUAGUGGCUGCUCUUCUAUAUAGAAUCACAAAAUCAUUACAGUUGGGAAAGACCCCUAGGAUCCCCAGGCUUAACCCCAGCCCACCCCCACCAUGCCCACUGCCCGUGUUCCUCAGUGCCACAUCCCCACAGUUCUGAAGGCUUCCAGAGAUGAUGACCCCACCGCCUCCCUGUGCAGCUGUGCCACUGCAUCACCACUCCCUGAGAAGAAAUUCUGCCUACUAUCCAACCAUGUAUGUUCUUUGCAGGAGGACAAAUCAUAGCAGAGUGUUUUGAUGCAUAAAUCUAGGAGUUAGCUGUAGCAUCACCCAACCCCCCUCUAUUCCCAGCCCUGCAGAAGGAGAUAUCUGUCCUUACACUGGUGGCAGAGGAUGGCUGAGGAGUGACAUCAAACGGUUUGUUGGGUCUGCGGUCCAGCCAUGUCACCAGGCUUCACCAGAGCAAGACCACGUCUGCUUCAUUUUGAACCGUCUGUGCCACGAAUCUGCAUCUUCUCUUUCUCCUGAAAUGAAAAACCCUCCAAAUAUUCAGGGUGAAAAUUGAUAAAAUAUUCAUCUAUUCUUAGACUCAUUAAGGCAGUGUAAUUGGAUGUAGGCGCUUCUUUCACUCUAACAGCGCUGUCUCGCUCCUGAGCCAAGAUUCAUUUCCACAGGCAAGAGCUUGCUCCUCACGGAUAAUGGAUGUGAGAGGAGUCCCUGCAGCUCACCCCUCCUGGAAAGCAGCAAACUAUCGCAGCACCACUCUGCUCCAACUCUUUGCAGGGCUGGCUUUGCACGCUGAUGCUAAUUGAAGCCAUUAUCAGCCUCUUGCACAUCUUACGCUUCCCAAAGCUGUGUUCUGUGGUUUCUGGUUCUAGCAGAGCUGCAGCCAUCCAUGUGAAGGGCCUUGCUUCCCAUUCUCUUUUCUUUAGGAUGUGUUCCUGAGUUUUUCCUUCCUUUUGUAGUUGGAACUGCUUUCAAUCCACUAGGUUGAGAAUCUGUCUGGGUGCUGUUCAAAAGCACAGUGAGAAAGUUUUUGUCUUAAAGAGACCAAAUGUGUAAUUCUGUGCUCAGCUGAGGGCCUUCAGAUGCAAAAGCUGCUUACAGUUAUCAUAUUUGGGGAACGGCUGUUUACAAGGGCGGAUAGUGAUAGGAAAGGAGGAAUGGUUUUAAACUGAGACAUGGCAGGUUUAGUUUGGAUAUGAGGAGGAAGUUUUUCCCCCAGAGGGUGGUGAGGCACUGGCACAGGUUGCCCAAUGAGGCUGUGGAUGCCCCAUCCCUGCAGGCAUUCAAGGCCAGGCUGGAUGUGGCUCUGGGCAGCCUGGGCUGCUGGUUGGUGACCUGCACACAGCAGGGGGUUGGAACUGGAUGAGCAUUGUGGGCCUUUGCAACCAGGCCAUUCUGUGAUUCUAUGAUAUGAUUAGAUGUUAUCUGGCAUGCAUCUGAGGCCGGGAAGGGUGAGACUGAGGUGAGCUGGAAAAGCUACUGUUGGGGGGUGGUGGUGGGAAUGUGAGAAUGCCUGCAGUGCAUUGGCUGUGUGCACCCAGUGAACAAAAAGCUUGCAAAUAAGCUUGUCAUCCCCCCAGGGACCCCUGGAAAUUGUUACCAUCAGCUCCUCUUAUUUGUUUGGUGACAGGAUGAGCUCCUGACUGUGACUGAAUAAGGCAAAAGUGAGAAGUUUGUGUUACCCCAGUAUAAUAGAACGGUUUGAGUUGUUAGGGACCCUUCAAGGCCAUCUGUCCCACUCCCUGCACUGAGCAGGGACACCCACAGCUCCAUCAGUGCUCAUCCAGCCUGACCUUGGCUUGCAGGGAUGGGGCACCACCACCUCUCUAUCAGCCUGUACCAGUCCCUCACCACUCUUAUUGUUAAAAACCUUUCACUGUGAAUCUGUUUUUGUUUGAAACCAUUUCCCCUUGUCCUGUCACAACAGACCCUGCUAAAGAGUCUGUCCCUUUUUUACAGCCCCAUGUCCUUUUUGGCAGAGCUCCGUCCUUUCAUCCACCAGCUUGCAUUGAUGGGGAGCUGCCACGACCCAGGGUUUGAGCUGCCCCUUGAGUUUACAAUGCCAAUUUUCCUGCAAUGUUCAUGGUGCACGAAGGUGUCAAGCACAAAGGAUCUGUAGGACAACACCAGCACUGUUACCUUACGGAGCUAGCAAGUAACUCACUAAUCAGCAUGUGCAUCAUUUCACGUAUUUCGCAGGCUGCUGUGUUUAGAGAAAGCUGUCACUGAGCUAUUCCAGUUUUAUUCACAGCUCCCAAGCGUUGUAAACAUUGUCACUCCAAAAUGCAGUGUUAUUUGAAAGGUUUCUUGUAAAGUCAUCACAUGGGAGCUGAUAAAUUUGGGUUUAUCCCAUCUGGGCUUGUGUUAGACAUGCAUGCAGCAGGCUGGAUCCUGAUGGGUUGGUGCUGAUUGAUUACAGAAAUAGUGCUUAAAUGUCACUGACCUUGGACGUGGUGACUUUCAGGAGGAAUUGGGUGUUCCUGGCCCUUGCUGAACUUUCUAGCUGGAUGCAUUCAUGUAAGCAACUCAUUUAAAGCACUGAAUAACUUUGUAAUUUCCUGUUGAGGAUGAGUGGGUGAAAAGGAGCAGCAGUGAAAUGCUGAAAAUAACCGGAGGUCCAUUGGUUAAAGCUUAUUUUUUUGCAAAGCUAUGUUGAGGUUAGAAAGUGCUUCAUUAAAGCGUAUUUACUGUAUAAUCUGUGGAGACGAGUGUAAGAGAGCCUUUGAAGGAAUUAGUGAAAUUCAGCUGAGGCUGCUUCACGUUCAGGAAAUCAGAGCUGCUGAAGGACCCAGUGCUACCUGAACUUGUAAGGCCAUUUCAGCAGUGUCUUCGCUUGGCAAAGUUCUCAUGACAUUUGCCUUGGCUUCUGGAAGGGGAGAGUUAAUCAUUAUCACGUGUAUCCACAACACCGUGCUGCAGGAGAAAGGUGGAUAGUAGGAAGCAUUUCUUCUCAUCAAGAGCAGUGAUGCAGUGGCACAGCUGCCCAUGGAGGUGGUGGAGUCACUGUCCCUGGGGGUGUUCCAGAACCAUGGGGAUGUGGCACUGAGGGACGUGGGCAUGGUGGGGUGGCUGGGGUUGGACUGGGUGAUCUUGGAGGUCUUUUCCAACCUGAGUGAUUCUGUGAUAGGACUUCAUAGAAUCAUUGUAGAGUCACAGAAUGGUUGGGUUGGAAGGGACCUCAGGGAUCAUGAAGCUCCAACCCCCCUGCCACAUGCAGGGCCACCAACCUCCACAUUUCAUAGCAGCCCAGGCUGCCCAGGGCCCCAUUCAACCUGGCCUUGAACACCUCCAGGGAUUUCAGCUCUGUGUGGCCUGGUGUGCACUCAUCAAAUCACCACGGGCAUCUCAGUCCUGAGCAGGCCAACAACAAGCAGCUCAGGCACACACUGAAAGGUUUUGCUGUUCUCUGCAGGGCAAGGGAGAGGAGUUCUGCCGUCUCAAGUGAAAGACACAGAGCUUCUUUCAAGGAAAGGCACCAACCGGAACACAGGAGGAAAUGUUAGAUGCUUAAAAGACGCCGUCUCGGCUGUCAUAGCAGUUGUCUGCACACAGUGCCAACACUCCUGUUUUUUUUGAAGGAAAAAUCCAUAUGUCACAGUCUGGUGUGAACAAAUGUGGUGUCUGGGCCAGAUGGAUGAAGUUAGAUGGGCACCGAUGAGUUUGCUUAUGAUAAGCAUCCAAAUUGACAUGGGAGAUGAGAGGAGAUGAAGGAACCCCACCUGUGAAGCAGCUGAUUACUGGCAGGGGUCAUACAGAAAUGCUGGGUUGCAUGGCUCUCUGUGUGCUGGUGCCCUGAAGGGUUGUGUCCCAGCAGGGCAUUACUUUGUCUGUCUGUCCAGCAAAACCUUCCUUCAGGAAAGGCUUUUGUGGUUGGAUGUUCAGCUGGCAGCAGAGACAGCUUCAGGCUGUGCUCUGUUAGGUGAUGUGGAUUGGGAUGUGGGUAUUCAUGCACACCCUUUCUCAUUCUUCACCCACUGGAUCAACAACUGGAUCUAGCUGUAGGCAUCCCUGAUCAUUACUGGAGAGUUCAACUAGAUGACCUUUAGUUCUGUGAUUCUUAGGAUGCCAAUAGACUUACUGCCAUACAGUGCUGAGUGCAGCUUUAACUUAAAGAAAAAGAGAAUCCAUCCUGAUCCUGUUCAGUGUGGGUCCGUAUAAUGGGAUGGAUCGUCUCCAGAUGCAAGCGUGGUGGUGAUAUUGCUGCAGACAGCUAGCAAGGAUUUAACUUUGUUUUUCUUUGAAGCUGUACAAGUGAUGCUGCCAGUGGAGCUCCAAAAGGGUCGAUGCAGUGAGGGAUGCCCAGAGGAGGCAGUCCUGCAGGCUAGAGCUGUCAGAUGUCCCCAGUGCUGGCUUUAGAGCAACCUGUGCAGCCCUGCUGCUUUUUAUUUUCUUCCCUUAAGAGCAGAGCCAUCUCCAUACAGAAGUGGUGUGAGCAUUGGCUCAUUAACGUUUACCUUUGUUUUAAUUUCUAAGACCGUUACCACUGCUAAGUGCUAAUAGGAAGCUUCAGGAAGCAGUAGGUAACCCAGCUCAUGCACUGAGUCACAAGGAAAAGGAGAAAUGAGAAGUGUCAGCAGGAUUUGAGCAGCUUUUAGCCCUGGUUCAGCAGCCAGCAAUAUCCAAAAUUGUGUUGUUGCUCCUUUCAGGUUAUUUUUAUGUAUCUGAAGAACCAGACCUGAGGGAUGGACUGGAUUUAGAAGAUCCAGCUGGCAGGGGGUUGCACCAGCUUGACCUCCCUUCCUACCCCAGCCCUUCUGUUGUCCUGUGAAGGUGCUGGGACAUUGGAGCCCUUUCCAUCUCAUACCUUGGUUUAAUAGUCUAACACCAGCUCAUCCUGCUGCUGAAUCACUGCAAUAUUAGCAAUAGCAUCAAACAGCUAAUUUUAUGCUUUGUAAAUUUAAUCAAGACUUUCAGAGGGCUCUCCCUUGACCUCGCGAGUUUAGGGGAUGCUCUGCAGAUGAAUCACUUUGCCCAUUUUCUCUGACAUGCUUUGUUUCUAACCCAGAUUUAUCAGCAGUCUUUUCCAGACUUUCAUUAAGAGCUUGGACUUGUGAUAUUCUGGUUAAGUCCAGCUGCAUUAACAUCUUAUCUGAUUGCUCAUGCGACGGUUUGUGCUACCCAGUAGAAAGCAGGAGCGUGUAACCUCCUUCCACUCACACCAUGAGAAGAAAGCGGGGUAUGGAUUAUGCUUAAAAUCUCACUUUUGAAGUAGCAAUCUGCGUUGAAGGAAUCACUCUGUUACAGGUCCCCAAGGCACACUCUGACCUUGUAAUGGCGGCACUGGGCAUAAAUAAACGCUUCCAGCAACUUAUCUGGAAGUCUGAGCCUUCACCUUUCUCCCUUCAUUAUCCACUCCUCCCACCUGCCCGGCGCUGUAAUGAUCUGAAGGGUUUGUAUGGAUUUCCACGUGGCUGCCCUGGAGAUCCUUUCAGCCAACUUCCCUCUGGACCAUCUACAAACAUUAAAAGAUGUUUGAAAUUACUCAACCUCAACGGUGCUUGAAAUUGAGCCAUGUUCUGUUGUGUCAACAGGGCGUUUCAAGUGGUGAUUGUAAAGGCCGGAAUAAAGAUUUCCAGCUUGGUGCUGCCCACAAAGCUGCUCUAUUAAGUGAUGUUCCCCAGCCUGGUAGCUUAUUUGUCCAUCAUCAUUCCUCUCUUUUAUUUGGGUGCUGUGGGACUUGCUGCAAGACUUGCUGCUUCUUUUCAUCUGCCUACUUAGUUGUAAUUUAGGGAGGAACAAAGGGCUUCAUGGCUUAUCAGAAACCUGUGGGUCGCUUCCUUUGAAGGGUGUCGCGAUGCCCUAACUGGCAGUGCUGUGUUUUCUCAGGCUGUUUCAGAUGCAGCUGAUUGUUUUUAGCUUCCAACUGAAGCUCCUGCCACUUCUUCACCUCUGGGCCACCCAUAACGCACCAGGAAGAGGAAUGGUGAGGUGUAUUUUGCAUUCAGUGAGCGGAGAGCUUUUCUGCUGCUGGAUCAGAUGUUGAAAUCCCAUCUCUGCAGGUCCCACCUCACAGCAGAAAUAGCUCAAUUUGAGGUCAAAAUGAGCAAAAUUUGUGGAGGCAGCAGUUUCCCAGUGAAGUCAUACAGUAUGUUGCUUUGGGAAGGGAGACAUUGGCAAGGGCCUGCUUUGUUGUCUUCCAGCUGACACGUCUCACAGGCCAUGCUGUGAGUGCCAGGCCUAACGAAGCCUGGCGUCCUGGGGGCUGCUGUCUUACGGCUGGCUGCUCUGGCCCCCAGGAGGGUACUGCAGGCUGGUGCAAGGUUUUUCUGUCAUUUAUAGGGUUUUCUUCUGUGCAGGUUCUUUGAUGACUGAGAAGGGAAAGGUUCAUGCUGUGGUUUUCCCUGAGGAUGUGAGCAAAGCAGGGCUCAGAACCUUCUUUGGCAUUAUAGAAUCAUAGAAUCAUAAAUGGCCUGGGUUGAAAAGGACCACAGUGCUCAUCCAGUUCCAACCCCCUGCUGUGUGCAGGGUCACCAACCAGCAGCCCAGGCUGCCCAGAGCCACAUCCAGCCUGGCCUUGAAUGCCUGCAGGGAUGGGGCAUCCACAGCCUCCUUGGGCAACCUGUGCCAGUGCCUCACCAGUCAUCUUUUGUGUGCUCAAACUGGUUUUACAGGUUUAACAAAAGCAAGUGUAGAGUCUUACAGCUGGGAAGGAAUAAUUGCAUGCACCAGUACAGGUUGGGGGAUGAGCUGCUGGAGGGGAGCUCUGCGGAAAGGGACCUGGGUGUCCUGGUGGACGACAGGUUGGCCAUGAGCCAGCAGUGUGCCCUUGUGGCCAAAAAGGCCAAUGGCUUACUGGGGUGCAUUAAAAAGAGCGUGGCCAGCAGGUCAAAGGAGGUGAUCCUCCCCCUCUACUCUGCCCUGGUGAGACCUCAUCUGGAGUACUGCGUCCAGUUCUGGGCUCCCCAGUACAAAAAAGACAGGGAUCUCUUGGAAAGAGUCCAGCGGAGGGCCACGAAGAUGGUGAAGGGCCUGGAGCAUCUCUGCUAUGGGGAAAGGCUGAGUGAACUGGGUCUGUUCAGCCUUGAGAAAAGGAGACUGAGAGGGGACCUGAUCCAGGUCUAUAAAUAUCUAAGGUGUGGGGGGCAGAAUGGCGAGGCCGGACUCUUUUCAGUGGUGAGUGGAGACAGGACAAGGGGAAACGGAGACAAGCUGCAGCAUAGGAAGUUCCUCUGUACAGUGAGGUGACGGAGCACUGGAACAGGCUGCCCAGGGAGGUGGUGGAGUCUCCUUCUCUGGAGAUGUUCAAGACCUGCCUGGAUGCCCACCUGUGUGACCUGCUGUAGGGAACCUGCUUUGGCGGGGGGUUGGACUCGAUGAUCUCUGGAGGUCCCUUCCAACCCCUACAAUUCUGUGAUUCUGUGACUCUGUGGUUCUGUUUUCUGUGGGAACUCAGGGUCUCUUUUCUCUUGAUAUCUUUAUAAAGCCUCUAGAACAUAACUUGUCUUUAAGAUGGUAUGGUUUUGGGGAGGUCCUGUGUGGAGCAUAAUGAUCUUUAUGGGUCCUUUCCAAAUCGGGAUAUCCUUGGUAUGGGCAUACGUACCAUAUGGUCAGAUAAGCAACCUAAAAGUUUAAAACUACAUGUGUUAUGACCUAAGCUGACACACACUGGCUUGUUCUUUUACUGAACAGCUGCUCCAAGCAAAACCGUGCCAAAUGGAGUUAUUAGGGGAAAAAGGAUAGCUGACGUAAUGCCAUUAAAACUAGAGCUGCGAUUUUGGGUUGAGCUUAAUGCGAAUAGAUAUUGAAUGAGAUUGAUUUGUGGAUAAAUUACAAAUGGCUGUAUAGGUAAAUAUAUAUGUAAAUGAUUUUUUCAAAAAGGAAUACCGCAUCACAGCCUUAGAAGUCAGGUUGGAGAGUUGGUUGGAGAGCAGAGGGGUGAGACACCCUGAUGGUUGACACUUGUCCUAAAGGUCUGUGGAAAUGGACGACAAACUGGAACUCAGAGUGGAUACAUGUAGGUGUGAGAAGAUUGAGUAAAAUGGGUGUCAGAGCAGGAAUGAAAAAAUGGUUUUCAGUUGAGAAUUGUAGAAUCACAGAAUGGUUGGUUUGGAGGAGAACUUAAAGCCCAACAAGUCCCAAUCCCUGCCGUGGGCUGGGUGCCUCCAGCUCAGGCUGCCCAGGGCCCAUCCAUGGCCUUGGGCACCUCCAGGGAUGGGGCACCCACAGCUCUGGGCAGCAGUGCCAGGGCAUCACCGCCCUCUGAAUUUCUUCCUGACACCUAACCUAAAUCUCCCCUCUUUCAGUUUAAAACUAAACCCCUUCUUUUGCUAUCAGACUGUGCAAGAAGUUGGUCUCCCUCCUGCUUAUGAGCUCCCUUUCACGUGGGAAAGGAUGCUACAAUCAAGGUGGAGUUGCUUUGCAAGUUGCAAGAGAUGCAGAAAUCUGAAAUGUUUGAGUUCCUGUAAUGUGUUUGAAGAUAAAAUAACUGGUGAGGAGAGCACCAUUCGAGGCCAUUUUGAUAGCUGAUGUCUCCUGCUUGUGAGCAUGAACCUGUUCUCCUGGGGGAGCUGCUGCAGGGGAGCUGAUGUCAGAAGCCUGAGUGCAACUGGUUGAAGGACAGCAAAGGUUGCUUUUCCAAUCCUUGUAGAGAUUUUGAAGAAACUUCCAAAAUCAAGUUCGAGGAGUUGUAGGAGAGCAAGUCUCAGUCCAAAGCUUAAGCAGCAGUAAGGCUGAGUUGGGCUUUAUUUGACAUCAGCUGAUUUCAUCACAGAAGGUGCUGUAGAUCAUCGCCCUGAAAGACUUCAACAAAAUGGUCUGAAAGGUUUUUAUGGGUUGUGAGAUGUUCCAGUGCCUGGAUCAAUGGUUUUUGUUUCCUGUCGGGAAGGAGUCUGUUGGGUUUUUUUUUGUUUCUUUGCUUGUGUUAUGUCAACUUAAUUGUAAGCCAGCGUGGCAGCCCCAGGGGAAGUGGACUUAUAUGCACAAACAGGUACAACACUGCGUGUGCAUGGAGCAAAUGGAACCAUCCCAGGGCAGAGGAGGUCCCCGAGGUGCUGCCAAGCUGUUCAGCCAUCACUGAUACCAGAACGGUGAUGCCCACGUGGUCCAAAUGCCUCUUCUUUCUGCACGGGCAGAAACAGGAAUGCAGGAGAUAGGCUUCAUGUGCAGAGCUGUGUCAGCUUAUGCUCACACUGGUGUGGGGUUUAGCAAGGUUUGUGCUCUGAUGUGAGUAAAACAGAGGGAAAUCUGUCUCUUGUUAUCAGAGGGCAGCCUGAGCUGGGGAGGGUCAGCCAGCCCACAGCAAGGCUUGGGACCACAAGAUCUUUGAGAUCCCUUCCAACCCAAACCGUUCUGUUAUUGGAUGGUUUUAAAUUACACAUGUGCACGUCAUGUCUGUAUGAAACCAUCCUGGGACUUGUGGAUUGAGAUGUGCUGUGAUUUGGAUGAUGACAUCCUGACAGUGACCAAGUAGGUGUACCUGCAUCAUGAUGUUUUUGCUUUGACCUGCUGUCCCCAGACACAGAUUGCCCUCAUAAAGGCCCAUUAAAAAUCACUUUGCUCUCUGGGAUGCUGAACUUGCUGUGUUUUCAGUUAGCCGUGCUGAACCUUGAAAAAGAGAGUGUGUGAGCUUCCAGCAGGAUAUCUGGAGUUCAGAAAUCUCUGCAGAAGAUUAAGCAAGUUAGAGAGAGAGAAAUUAGCCCUGAUCCCUUUCUGCCAGCAUAGGAUUAUCCUGCAGCACACAGGUUUUGAAGUUUAUGUCUAAUCCAGUUUUACACGUCCCAGGGGACUGUGCUCCUUACGGCUUCUGCAGAGCAGUUGUGUGGUGGAGCCUCUGCUUUAGAGGUACUUGAGAUUCAAUUUGCAUUUCCAUUACUGCAUCCCAUUUCAUCCUGUGCCGUAUACUUAAUGUCUCUGCUUUGUAGGGUAUGGCUUUUGAAGACAUAUGGAUCGUUACCGUGCUUGUGCUGCUUUAUAUGCUUACUGCACACAUAGCUGGGUGAUCUGAACCCCAUUCUUACACAUAACUUGUGUUUAGGGCUGUUGAGCAUAUCUGUGUAUAAGGGGGGUUGUGGCAGUCAGUGUGGAUCGUAGUGCAUCAACACAAGUGGCGUGAAACAAGGUGAGAUGAGCCAAAUGUGCAGCAGUAUUGCUAGUCAAGGCAAAAAGGAGCAAAUGCUGCUGCUUUCCAGCAAGGUGCAAGGCUUAAAUGGUCAGUCUGGGAGUUUUUCAUGCAGCGUGGUAUGAGUUUGUAAAACCAUAAUUGUUCUUUUCUAAUAAAUGUGUACUUCCAGGCUGAAAAACAACUUGUCUGUGAUCUUUGAAGUGCCUUUCUGCAAGCAUUGUUCCUUGCACACACGGGGCAGUAGCAGAGCAGCAGAGCAUUGAAGCACGUGGUCUAUCUCAAGUAUGCAGGCAGUGCAUUUAAAAGAAGACAGCAUGUUUUAUUUGACUGGCCAAAACUUGUUUAGAGCCAUGCUAGAUCAGCACCCAGCUCCAUCCCAAGCACAUUUCAGGAGCUGUUUCUAGGACUAGAAAGUGUUGGGUAAGUCAGGAAUGCAAGCCUAACACCCCAAAGUGCUUUUUAUAGGUUGAAAGUUUAAAUUCCAAGUUUUUGCAAGUAUCCAUAGUGCAGUGGUGAGCUGGAGAGAUCCCAGAAUUGGACCUGAUCCUGCCCUGUGCCUUCAGUCUCAAUUCACAUCCUGCAGUAUUAUUUCAUUCUUCUCAGUGCAGAUGGCAAUGAAAGAUAAAAACCAAACAAACAAAAAUGUGAAAUAAAAGACCUGCAGCAUUUCUAGAAGGAAGAGAGAGCAAGCAGAAGAUGGCAAAAGAUGAACACAGUGGCUGAUCAUAAUACUGUGCAUGGAGAUGGCUUUUUUCAUAUUACAGUAAAUUAUGUGUGCACUUGAAAACUAUGUGCAAUCUGAGCAAUUUUUAGCAGUGUUAAGGAUGUAUUGCUGCAACCUGAGCAGCAGAGGAUAUUUCUGCUUUUCCAGCAGAGCUGCUUGGGCACCCCAUGCUCCUGCCAUUUUCUUCAUAGGCAAUAGUUGUGGGGAAGAACCCAAAUCCACAGCGAUGGCAUUUUAUGAGCCAUCCUCUCCUGGAGUUGUUCCUUGCAGAGGGGAGGUUCAGGCUGGACAUUAAGUAGUAUUGAUUUGGUGAAAGAACAGUGCUGCAGUGGCACAGCUGCCCAGGGAGGUGGUGGGAUCACCCAGAGGUGUUCCAGAGCCAUGGGGAUGUGGCACUGAGGGACGUGGGCAGUGGGCAUGGUGGGCAUGGUGGGGUUGGACUGGGUGAUCUUAGAGGUCUUUUCUGACCUGAUUGAUUCUUCCUUAAUCAUGAGAACCAGCAUGCUUUCUAGGAUUCCAUGAUUUAGAGAAUUUGCAUCACCCAUACAAAAGAAGUGGGGUUGGAAGUCUCCUCUUCUGUCCCCAUCCCACCACACGGCUCCUGCCACCAUGGGGACACGUUCUAGAAAACAAGCUAAGAUGUUCUCAAGGAAAUCAGUGCUGGGAAGUUGUAGGGCUGUCAAUGAAUUCUCUCUUCCCCCUUGGGAAUGAGGUUUCUGGAGGACAGUGGCAGAUGCUGUUUAGCAGGACACUGUGAGCACACCCCACUAAGUGGCUGGGCUAUCUGUGUUACUUUUAUUCCUCCUGGCUGUAGUUAUCCUGAUUCGAGGCCCAGGAUUAAUCCAUGCUGAACAUCCAGGCUGGAUGUGGGCAGCCUGGUCUGGUGCUUGGCAACCCUGCACAUAGCAGGGGCUUGAAACUAGAUGUGGCCCUUUUCAACCCAGGCCAUUCUAUGAUUUCAUGAACAUGCUUGAUUUCUUUCCUCAUUUUCUAUGACAGAGUCAUCGUAUGCAGAGCAGGGUGCACCAGCACUCCUUGUGAGCAGUUUUAACUGUUAGUCCUCCUGUGCCAAGGAUGUGAGGUCUGUGCUCAACCUCAACUGUGUAUGAUUGUGUGAUGUCAGAGGCACUUCAGCACAGGCUGCACAGAUGGGCAGUGGUGCCCCGUCCCUGCAGACAGCCAAGGUCAGGAUGGAUGGGGAUCUGAGCACUGAUGGAGCUGUGGGUGUCCCUGUCCAGUGCAGGGAGUGGGACAGAUGGCCUUCAAGGGUCCCUUCCAACUCAAACCAUUCUAUGGUGAGAGAAUAAAUGCUGGUCAUUGCACAAGGGCAGGCAUUGUGAAAGGCUGGGUGCUGGUUCUGAGCUGCUGGUGGGACGUCAGCUCAGAGCAUCAUCAUCCUCAUGGCUAAGCUGUCUCUGGGUACUCUCUUCUCUCUGAAACCAUUGAUUUGCAGCAUGCCCAAACCAAAUUUAAGCAUGGAGCCACAUAGAUCUGAAUUUAGCUGUGCUGGCUGGUUUCCCUGGGAGGAGGGAUCAAGGGGAUGAAUUUGAUUGCCUCAGAAAAUUAGUGUUGAUUUCAGUGAAGAAUAUUUUAUUACAGUGUUUGCAUUGGCAUUCCCUUCAUAGGAUAAUGGCUAAGAGUUUCCAGUGUUUCCUGUGCUUGUGUGUAUUUAAUGAUUUAAUCUAUUCCUUCUGAAUGCUGGUUUGGAAGAAAGAAAAAAAAGCAACAAUAAACAAGGCUGGCUGCCUACUAUUAAUAUCCCUCCAUAAAAUAAAAUCACUAAUCCCAAAGGUGGAGUUGCAAAUGAAAAGGAAAAAAAAAACAACAAACAGUCUUGGAAAGUAUUAAAAGUAAAUUACAGGUUCUAAAAUAGACACCAUCCAUAUUGUUUUCUUCAGCUAUGGGUGCCAGAGAGGCUGCAGUGCUUUGGAAAGUUGGGAUGCUGUUAUCUCCAUCCCUGAGCAUGGGUUUGGAAACUUGGGAUUAUUCUCAUGCAUUGGAAGUUGAAUUAGAAUCAUAGAAUCA